CGGCGGUGGAGCCAGCCCCCAGCCCGGGCCGCGCCAACUGGGAGGUCAGCCCGGAGGGAGGGCGGCUGGGAGCGGGGGACCCCGGGGAGCGGGGCUCUCAGGCUCUUAAUCCCCCUGAAGGUUGCAGAUCAAAGACGCUGAUGAAGCUGAGCCCCAGAAUAGUGAUGCGUCCUCGUCAAGGUCACACAGCGAGUUGGCGGCAGAACCGGAAUGAGAGCGCAGGCCUUCACUGAGUGCCUGCUUGGUGCCCCACACCGGACUAGCUCUGCACACGUGAUCUUGUUUAAACCCCGCAACAACACUGCAAGGUUCAGCUGAGAAGAUGAACAGGCCCUAAGGCUUAGCUGCCCCACCCCAGACCCACACCUGGCUUCCGGGGGCAGCGCUACUCCAGCUCCACAGUCAGACUCCAAAAGCUUCAUCCUCAUACCUCUUCCCCUUCUUAGCCUCCUUCUAUGA